rnacentral:rRNA from 1 species
AUCGCGGAUCAGCAUGCCGCGGUGAAUACGUUCCCGGGCCUUGUACACACCGCCCGUCACACCAUGAGAGUUUGUAACACCCAAAGCCGGUGGGGUAACCUUUUGGAGCCAGCCGUCUAAGGUGGGAUAGAUGAUUAGGGUGAAGUCGUAACAAGGUAGCCGUAGGAGAACCUGCGGCUGGAUCACCUCCUUU